GACGAACGCUGGCGGCGUGCCUAAUACAUGCAAGUAGGACGCAGUUGCGAGCGGGGGAGUAACGCGUAGGUAACUACCUAUUAGAGGGGGAUAACUCUUGGACCCGAUAGCUAAUACCGCAUACUUGUCGAUGUACCUGCGUUGUGUUGGCUAGUAGGUAGGGUAAUGGCCUACCUAGGCAACGGUACAUAGCCGACCUGAGAGGGUGAUAGGCCACACUGGGACUGAGACACGGCCCAGAGUCCUACGGGAGGCAGCAGUAGGGAAUCUUCGGCAAUGGGGGGAAGCCUGACCGAGCAACGCCGCGUGAGUGAAGAAGGUUUUCGGAUCGUAAAGCUCUGUUGUUAAGGAAGCGGUACCUAACCAGAAAGGGACGGCUAACUACGUGCCAGCAGCCGCGGUAAUAC
rnacentral:rRNA from 1 species